GACGAACGCUGGCGGCGUGCUUAACACAUGCAAGUCGAACGAAGUGGCGAACGGGUGAGUAACGCGUAAUCAACCUGCCCUUCAGAGGGGGACAACAGUUGGAAACGACUGCUACUCCCGCAUACUUAAGGAGGGGAUUGGGGUUGCUUAGCUGGUGGGAGGGGUAACGGCCCACCAAGGCGAUGAUCAGUAGCCGGUCUGAGGUGAUGAACGGCCACACUGGGACUGAGACAAGGCCCAGACUCCGAAGGGAGGCAGCAGUGGGGAAUCGUCCGCAAUUGACGAAAGUCUGACGGAGCAACGCCGGGUGAGUGGUGACGGCCUUCGGGUUGUAAAGCUCUGUUAAUCGGGACGCGGUACCGGAAUAGAAAGCCACGGCUAACUACGUGCCAGCAGCCGCGGUAAUAC
rnacentral:rRNA from 1 species